AUUGAACGCUGGCGGCAUGCCUUACACAUGCAAGUCGAACGGUAACGGGCCUUCGGGUGCCGCCGAGUGGCGAACGGGUGAGUAAUACAUCGGAACGUGCCCGAUCGUGGGGGAUAACGAGGCGAAAGCUUUGCUAAUACCGCAUACGAUCUACGGAUGAAAGCAGGGGGCCGCAAGGCCUUGCGCGGACGGAGCGGCCGAUGGCAGAUUAGGGAGUUGGUGGGGUAAAAGCUUACCAAGCCGACGAUCUGUAGCUGGUCUGAGAGGAUGAUCAGCCCCACUGGGACUGGGACACGGCCCAGACUCCUACGGGAGGCAGCAGUGGGGAAUUUUGGACAAUGGGCGCAAGCCUGAUCCAGCCAUGCCGCGUGCAGGCUGAAGGCCUUCGGGUUGUAAACUGCUUUUGUACGGAACGAAAAGCCUUCUUUUAAUACAGGAGGGUCAUGACGGUACCGUAAGAAUAAGCACCGGCUAACUACGUG
rnacentral:rRNA from 1 species